UUUCGCUUUUUUAGCGCCAUCUGCUCGCGGCACCGCCUCCUGCUCCUCCCGCCGCCGCUGCCGCCCUGAGUCACUGCCUGCGCAGCUCCGGCCGCCUGGCUCCCCAUACUAGCCGCCGAUAUUUGGAGUUCUUACAACAUGGCAGACAUUGACAACAAAGAACAGUCUGAACUUGAUCAAGAUUUGGAUGAUGUUGAAGAAGUAGAAGAAGAGGAAACUGGUGAAGAAACAAAAAUCAAAGCACGUCAGCUAACUGUUCAGAUGAUGCAAAAUCCUCAGAUUCUUGCAGCCCUUCAAGAAAGACUUGAUGGUCUGGUAGAAACACCAACAGGAUACAUUGAAAGCCUGCCUAGGGUAGUUAAAAGACGAGUGAAUGCUCUCAAAAACCUGCAAGUUAAAUGUGCACAGAUAGAAGCCAAAUUCUAUGAGGAAGUUCACGAUCUUGAAAGGAAGUAUGCCGUUCUCUAUCAGCCUCUGUUUGAUAAGCGAUUUGAGAUUAUUAAUGCAAUUUAUGAACCUACGGAAGAAGAAUGUGAAUGGAAACCAGAUGAAGAAGAUGAGAUUUCGGAGGAGUUGAAAGAAAAGGCCAAGAUCAAAGAUGAGAGAAAGGAUGAAGAAAAAGAAGACCCCAAAGGAAUUCCUGAAUUUUGGUUAACUGUUUUUAAGAAUGUUGACUUGCUCAGUGAUAUGGUUCAGGAACAUGAUGAACCUAUUCUGAAACACUUGAAAGAUAUUAAAGUGAAGUUCUCAGAUGCUGGCCAGCCUAUGAGUUUUGUCUUAGAAUUUCACUUUGAACCCAAUGAAUAUUUUACAAAUGAAGUGCUGACAGACAUAUAGGAUGAGGUCAGAACCAGAUGAUUCUGAUCCCUUUUCUUUUGAUGGACCAGAAAUUAUGGGUUGUACAGGGUGCCAGAUAGAUUGGAAAAAGGAAAGAAUGUCACUUUGAAAACCAUUAAGAAGAAGCAGAAACACAAGGGAUGUGGGACAGUUCGUACUGUGACUAAAACAGUUUCCAAUGACUCUUUCUUUAAUUUUUUUGCCCCUCCUGAAGUUCCUGAGAGUGGAGAUCUGGAUGAUGAUGCUGAAGCUAUCCUUGCUGCGGACUUCGAAAUUGGUCACUUUUUACGUGAGCGUAUAAUCCUGAGAUCAGUGUUGUAUUUUACUGGAGAAGCUAUUGAAGAUGAUGAUGAUGAUUAUGAUGAAGAAGGUGAAGAAGCGGAUGAGGUAAUGUUUACCAAAUGAGCAAAUAAUUCUCUGUGGUUAACACAUUGAGAAGCAAAUGGAAUGACUUAUGUAUUCCUUUGCUAUAAUCAUUCUGUGAUUUGGGAUAAAAACAUUUUGGAAAACAUGAUUUUAGAAUUCUACAGCCAAACAAUGUAUGUAUAAGGUUUCAAUAAAUAAAUUGCAAAACUCAAAAAAA